rnacentral:tRNA from 1 species
GUAAGUAUAGUAUAACUAAAAACUUUAGAUUGUGAUUCUAAAAAUAGAGGUUAAAAUCCCCCUACUCGCC